ACAGUCGAGAUACAAGGGAUGAUGCCUGUGACCAACCGUCCUGCUGGAAACGAGCACCAGAACCUACAUUAUAAGACAAUGUAGCACAUAGACAUAUAUGUGGGUAAGUACUAUUGGAAUGUACUGAGUAUGUGGGGGUGAAUGGACAGAUAAAAUAAGGACUGAAUAUAUACGUACACUUUCAAGUAAUGCAUGUUAAGCGUAAGUAAUUCACCUUGGACUUGAGUAAAAUAAAGACUGCAUGAUCAUAAAACAUGUAUAACAAAGCAUAUGAAUAAGCUUAGUAAGCCACAACACUUAGUUUCUAAAUUUUUUACUUUUAUUUCUUUCUUAUAGGAGAUUCUUCUAACCAACAUAAACUAUGUGAGCAAUCAUAGAGUCCAACGACUUACCCACGUUGGGAAGAGCUGUUCUACCCUUGCCAUUGGAAUAGAACCUUAACUUAAGUGAUCACUAUACUUCAUCCAUAUUGGGAAAAAGCUGAACCUACGGUGGCUCUUAGUUUACAGAAAUUUUGGAUAAGCUCACCCGCAUUCUCUUUUUGGUGCUAAAUACUACUCCCAGAAUAUAUUUAUGCUCAUACUUAAGAAAUCCGCCUUAAAAUAACAUAAGAAUUUGUAUACUGAAAACCAGUUAUGCUUCUCUUUACUUUAAAUCAUAAUCAAGAUAAACACAGCAAAGACCAAGUUUUCUUGAAUCAUGCUAUAUUUUAUAUGAGUGGAACUUUAAAAGCUUAAACUUUCUUGUAAACUUAAUGUUUCUUCUUGAAUCUUGAAACUCUUACUUUCUUUAAUAACACUCAUAACAAAAUAACAGGCUCAACACCCAUUUAGAAAUCUUUCAUUAGAAUCCACAUCAAAGUAAUGAAACUCAAAUCACAAUAUCAAUCUUAAAAUUCAAAACAUGAAUACAUGAAAUCUUUAAUCAUCUUUAGCCUUUAAAUCACAAGAUAAUAAUUUGCUUCAAUAUAUGAGAAUUUGAGGGAUGAACCUUAAUAUAAAACAUGUAAAUUCAAUCUUAAAAAUCAUGCUUUGGGGUUGGAGGAUUAACCUUGUUCAAUGCCCCCCACAUACCUGGAAUUGCUUCACUUAUGAAAAAGACUUAAAACUUUGAGACUUGAGAGAUAAUUUGUGAGAAAACCCUAAUCUUGUCACUCUUGGAGAUGGGAUGAGAGAAGAUAUUGUUAAUUGACUGAAGGGUGAAGGAAAAUAACGUCUCUUUGCAGUUAUAGGUCGUGGAUUGGGAGUUAUAUAAGGGGAAAAGACCAAAAAUCCCUUCAACUGAACUUACAAAAAAAUUGACCACCAAUCGAUACGAGUCCAACAUACUACUCGUAUGGUGAAGAUAUAAGUUAGCUUCAUGACUCGUAAACUUGAGUCGUAUGUUGUGCAGUGGCUUUCAAACACGGGGUAUUACAAUAUCUCCCCCUUGGAAAUAUUCGUCCUCGAAUGUGAUUCACCUAGGAUUUGGAAAAUAAUCAACACCUCUACACCAAACUUAUAGCCAAACUUAUACAUAUCACAAGGAUCCAAUUGCUCACAGCAUAAUAUAUGACUUAAAAAUACUUAAAUAGACUUAAAGAGAAAGAGUUUUGGCUGAAAAAUAACUACUUACCUUCGGUAGGAACAGAGUUGGAAUAAAAGAGAUGAGGAUAUUUGGUCAUCAUGUCUGCUUCAGCUUCCCAAGUGGCCUCUUCAACCAAUUUGUUUCUCCAAAGAACCUUUACAAACGCUACCUCUUUAUUUCUUAGCCUUCAAACCUGCCUAUCAAGUGCCCUCACGGGUAGGGAUGUGCAAAAAUUGAACCGACCGAUAAACCAAACCGAUAAAUAUGCUAUUGAAUUAUUGGUAUUGGGUUAUUGCGUUAGUGAUUUUUUAUUAUUUUUAUAAGAAAAUUUAUUGGGUAAACGGUUCGGUUUCGGUUUUAGCUUAUUGAGUUAUCGGUUAAACCGAUAACCCAAUGAGGAUACACUAAGUUAUUGUUUUAUCCUUAUUUAUGUUAUAUAUAUAUAUAUAUAUAUAUAUAUAUAUAUAUAUAUAUAUUAAAAGCCUGAAGGCCCUUAGAAAAGUGAUUUGAACUUUUUGCCCUUCAUUAAAAUAUAUUGCAAUAGACAAAAUUGUCUUUUCGCAUUUUUCCUUUAUUAAAUUAAGAAUUUCUAAAAUAUAUGAAAAAAAUAUAAAAUAAAUAUGGAAAAAAUAAAGAGUUCUAAAAUACAUGAAAUAUAUGAAUCUUAGAAUAUACGGCUCUUAAAAUAUUCAACUCAUCAUGUGUAUUAUUGUUAAUAUAUGUUACUAUAUAAGAAUUAGGUCUAAAAAUUGCAGAGCAAAUAAAAGCUCUGGAGUCAUCUUAUCUAUAAUCUCGAUGGGCAUGAGACUGAAUUUCUCCAGAAGUAAGCUCUCAUCUUCAUAUGAUUCUUAUACAAUUUCAUAUUGCAUCUCUUAAAGGAAAAUCUCAAGAACUCACUAAUCAAAAGAAAGCUGUCUUACGGAGAUAAAGAGAUUAUUUUCGAAAGAUUCUGACUCAAGUAAAGUUUAGUUCGCACAGGUUUACAUAUAAUUUUAUUAUUUGACACGAGACACGCGUGCAACACACGUAUACUAAAAUAGUAUAUAUAAUGUAGUGAUAUAUAUAUAUAUAUAUAUAUAUAUAUAUAUAUUAUGCACUACUUAUUCACAAUGUAGUGAUUCACAAAGUAUUAACCUAUUCAAGGCAACAAAGGCACAAUAUAAAGCUCGGGUAUUAUCGUAUUGGAAAUCUUGAAGCAUUUAGUAGUUUCCAACAAUUAGGAUUCAGUUUUUUUUUUGAAUUAAUAUUCAAUUCAAGUUUUAAGAUUCUUGUAAACUAAAAUGUAUUGCGUAGGAUUUUGGCGGUAACUAAGAUUUUAUUUUUUAAUGUUAGUUGUUACUAUUUCUAUUUUAUGAGUAUUUUCUUAUUGGUUAAACCGAAAAUCAAAUCAUGAAGGACCAAAAACCGAUAAAUCAAAACUGAUAAGAAAAUAUCUUAUUGGUUGGUUAUUGGUUUUACAUAUUUAAAAAUCGAUAAACCAAACCAAUAACACAUAAAACCGAAUCGAACUGACCGAUGCACACCCUUAUUCAUAGGAAUCUCCUCAUAUGACAAGUUAUAUUUGAACCCAAUACUGUCUAGGGGAACUAUUAAGGACGGAUUUCCAAUGCACUUCUUAAGCAUCGAAACAUGGAACACUGGGUGAACAUGCAACUAACUCUAAUAGAAGGUCCAAUUCGUAAGCAACCUCUCCUACACGCUUCACUACCUUAUACAAAUUAAUAAAUUGGGGACUCAACUUCCCUUUCUUUCCAAAUCUUAUAAUUCCCUUCAUAGGUGACACUUUCAAGAAUAUCCAAUCCCCCACUUCAAACACAAGCACUCUCCUUCUUACAUCAAUAUAUGAUUUUUGAUGGCUCUGAGCAGUUUUUAAUCUCUCACAAAUCAACUGAACCUUUGCUAUAACUUCAAGAAUAGAAUCUGGCCUAAUCAAUGCUGCUUCACCAACCUCAAACCAUCCUAUAGAUGAUCUGCACCUAUGCCCAUACAAUUCUUCAAAAGAAGUCAUCUGAAUGCUAGUGUGAUAACUAUUAUUAUAAGCAAACUUAAUCAAAGGUAGAUGGUCAUCCCAACUUUCUUUAAAGUCUAAAACACACACCCUCAGCAUGUCUUCUAAAGUCUGAAUUGUACCUUCAACCUGACCAUCAAUCUGUGGAUGAAAAACAGUACUAAGCUUAACCUUUGUACCAAGGUCCUUCUGAAAAGACUGCUAAAACUGCAAAGUGAAUUGUGUACCUCUGUAUGAAAUGAUGGAUAAAGGUAUCCCAUGAAGUCUUACUAAAUUGUGAAUAUACAUUUUGGCAUAAUCUUUCAUUGUAUCUGAAGUCUUGACUGGUAGAAAGUGGUUUGAUUUAGUCAUUCGAUCUACUAUGACCCAAAUUGAGUCGUGUUGAUGUCUUGUACGAGGCAACCCUUUGAUGAGAUCCAUAUUUAAUACUUUUCACUUCCAAGUAAGGAUGUUGAUAUCCAGUAGCGUACUACCCGGUCUCUAGUGUUCAACUUUAACUUGCUGGCAGUUGGGACACUAGGCCACAAACUCUGCGAUGUCCCUAUUAAUACUAUUCCACCAAUAGAUUUCCCAUAAGUUGCGGUACAUCAUAAUAGCACCCGGAUGAAUGGAAAACCUCGAACCAUGAUCUUCGACUAGUAUUCUUUCCCUCAACCCGUCUACAUCUAAAAUACAAAGCCUUCCUUGAUAGCGAAGUACACCAUCUCCCCCUUGGAAGAGAACCUCGACCUUCUAUUGUUGCUGGACUACUUCCAAUAUUUGGCUAAGUAUGGGAUAAUUUCAUUGUUUCUCCUUCACUUCCACUAUAAAGGAUGAUUCUAAACCAUUUUGAACCACUACUCCUCCAUCAUCCAUGUCAAGCGAACGUACUCCCAAACGGGCAAAUCUAUGCACCUCUUUGGCCAAUUCCCAUUCUUUCUCUUUCACACGAGCCACACUACCCGUGGACACCCUACGUAUUGCGCUAGCCACCAUGUUGGCCUUACUCGAUGAUAGAACACACUUAUGUCAUAAUCUUUCAAUAACUCCAACCACCUUCUUUGAUAAAAAUUCACCUUUCACUGAGAAAAUAAAUACUGAAGACUCUUGUGGUCAGUGAAAACAUCAACUUGCACACCAUAGAGAUAGUGUCUCCAAAUUUUUAAGGCAAAUACCACAACAACUAACUUCAAAUCGUGAGUUGGGUAAUUCUUUUUGUGCUCCUUAAGUUGCCUAGAGGCAUAAGCUAUCACUCUCUUAUUCUGCAUUAACACACAACCUAACCCAACUCUAGAAGCAUCACAAUAUACCACAAAUCCAUCCAACCCUUCCGAUAAAGCUAACACUGGAGUCGAAUUUAAUCUAUUCUCUAUUUCUUGAAAACUCUUCUCACACUUAUCCGACCAUAUAAGUUUCACUUUCUUUUGGGUUAACUUAGUCAAUGGUGCGGCUAUAGAGGAGAACCCUUCAACAAAUCUCCUAUAAUACCCAACCAAACCCAAAAAGCUCCUGAUAUCAAAUGGAGAGAUGGGACUAGGCUAGUGCUUCUCUGCAUUAGUCUUCUAAGGAUCUGCAUGAAUACCAGCCCCUGAAAUGACAUGCCCCAAGAAAGUAAUAGAUUACAAUGAAAAUUCAUAUUUACCAAACUUUACAUAUAACUAACGGCCCUUAAGGGUCUGCAGUACUAUUCUCAAAUGGUUUGUAUGCUCCUCCUUACUCCUGGAAUACACCAGUUUAACAUCUAUAAAGACAAUGACAAACAUGUCCAAGUACUGCUUGAAGACCCUGUACAUCAAAUCCAUAAAAGUUCUAGGAGCAUUUGUCAGUCCAAAUGAUAUAACCACAAACUCAAAAUAACUGUACCUUGUUCGAAAAGUUGUCUUCAGAAAGUCUUGUUCCCUGACCUUCAACUAAUGGUAUCCCGACCUAAGGUCAAUCUUGAAAAACCAUCGGGCACCCUGAAGUUGAUUGAACAAAUCGUUGAUCCUAGGAAUGGGAUACUUGUUCUUGACGGUAACUUUGUUUAGCUGUUUAUAAUCUAUACACAUUCUGAGAAUGCUAUCUUUCUUGCACACGAAAAGGACUGGAGCACCCCAUGGAGAAAUAUUGAGUCUGAUAAAACCUUUAUCUAAUAGGUCCUUAAGCUGCUCCUUUAAUUCUUUAAGUUCAGCCGGAGCCAUACAAUAUGGGGGGAUAGAGAUGGGUUGAGUGUCAAGAAGAAGAUCAAUACCAAACUCUAUUUCUCUGUUUAGAGGUAUCCCUGGCAUAUCUUUGGGGAAAACCUCCAGAAAUUCAUUGACUACACGGACUAAUUGAACUGUCAGGGCUUCAGACUUGGUGCUUUGACACGAACUAAAUAAUAGAUACACCCUUUUAAUAUUAAUUUCCAGGCCUUAAGAUAAGAGAUGAAAUGACCUUUGGGAGAUACUAAGCUACCCUCCCACUCGAAAACUGCCAUAUCAGAAAACUGAAACUUCACCACACAGGUGCGAUAAUUUAUUGAUGCAUAGUAUGAAUGGAGCCAAUCCUUGCCUAGAAUAGCAUCGAAAUCCACCAUCUCUAACUCUAUUAGCUCCGCUAGUAUGGUCUUAUGGAGGACAGUAAUAGGACACUCCCUAUAGACUCGCCUAGCAACAAGUGACUCACUCACUAGGGUAGAAACUAAGAAGGGCUUAGAGAGAUUUUCAACACCUACCUAAAAAUUUAUAGCAACCAAUAGAGUUAUAUAAGAGAUAUUCGAUCCCGGGUCUAACAAUACAUAUACAUUAAGGUUAAAAUCAUAAAGCAUACCAGUGACAACAUCUGGAGAACUCUCAUUCUCCUGAUGAACGGUAAAGCAUAAAAUUAAUUCUGUCAUUGACCGCCAUCGAUACUGGCUAAUGUGCCCUGUGGAGGAACUGUGCGGCCUGGCUGAGCUGCUGAAUUAUUAGAUCGACUCUGAGGAUGAGUAUCUCUACCUCCCUGCUUAGCAUACAAAUACUCCUUAAUCCUGUGGCCCAACUUUCCACAACCAUAACAACCCUCUUUUCCCAUCAAACACUCACCAGGAUGGGUCUUGCCACACUUUGCAUAUGUCGGGUAACUGGGCCUCCCAACUACACUAUUCUGCGACCCAGAAUUUGAAAUCCUUCCUCACUUCUCUUGCCUGGUCCUGGGUGCAGGGACACUAGCUCAAGAUAGUAUAGACACUGAUGAAUAACCCUGAAAUUGUGAACGGCUUCCCCCUCCUGACCUUGGCAGACUAUACUAAAACUGUCUAAUCCUAGCUCUCUUGUUUCUCUUAUCCCCUCCUUCAAAUUUUUUGCCUCAAUUUAUUGACCAUAAGUUAUCAAUCGAGCAAUAUCCAUAUCCACAAGUAGCAUAGUAGUCCUAUACUCAUUGACCACUAAAUCAGAAACCCCGGUAACAAACUUACUCAUACAAGCUCUAGAGUCAGAUAACAACUUUGGGGCAUAUUUAGCUAGCUGAGUAAACUUAAGGUAGUACUCCUUCACUAACAUAGAUCCCUGCCUCAAGUUCACGAGCUCCUCAACUUUAGCCUCCCUCAUCUCACAGGAAAGAACCUGUCCAAAAAAGCAUUUUAAAAUACCUGCCAACUCAUAAAAGCUGAAUUCUCACCUUUACCGUCCUUUUACAUAGUGACCCAAUCAUAAGCAACAUCCUUCAGCCUAUAGGAUGCCAGCUCUACACUCUCCUCUUCAGUAACAUGCAUGAUAUGAGUAAUCUUUCUCACCCCAUCAAUAAAGAGUUGAGGAUCUCCAUUCACCUUUGACCCAUGGAACUCAGGUGGAUUCAUCCUCAUAAAGUCCUAAAUUUAAGAUGAAGCUAGGUUACUAUUUUUCUGAAGUGGAACUGCUGCUUGGUAAUUUCUCUAAACAUUGGCAUUCACAGCUUAAGCCGUCUCUUGAAAGGAAGCCUAAAUUUAGCAUGAGACACAUUCUCAUUCAGAGGGUCUGCAUGCAGGGGUGGUUGAUCAUCGUUUUUGCAUACGUCAGCUUGGUGAGGAGGCAUAUUAUGUCACAUAAAAGAAUGAGUUAAGGCAGAUAGAGACAACUGUAAGCACGAUAGAUCAUGAAAGAAAUAAUUAUUCCUAACUCAUUUCAUAGCCUCCUGCUCACAAAUGUGGCGUAGUUCACAUACAUGAUCAAGACUCUACGUAAUGCGGCUUGUUUGACUCCCUAGGAUUCUUUAAACCUUAGGCUCUGAUACCAAGUUUGCAAUUCCUCAAAAGUAUCCCCUGAACGCCACACAGUGUAAGGACUACGAAUAGGCCCAAGAUAACCCACGGUAUCUAUUCUGCUUGAAACUCUAUGAAAAGUGAACUAACACUUAUAGAAAAUGAAGGUAACAAUUCUAUAUCGUAAUGUAAAUCAAUAACUUUGGAAACUUUAAACAAACUUCUUGAACUUAAAACAUACAUAGUCUAACAAACCCCUUCUACUAACUAUAAAGCCACUAGGACAGACCCCAGCUGACUCAAACAUAAGUGAAAAUCAAAGAUCUAAAAUAAUUUUUAACUAUAAACAUGAGUCUGCUAAAUUGGGUCAUCAGACUAUGAGGACUCACCAACAGUUGAGAUGCAUGGGAUGAUGCUCGUGAUCAAUCGUGUUGCUGAAAACGAGCACCAGAACCUACAUUAUAAGACAAUAUAGUACAUAGACAUAUAUGUAGGUCAGUACUUCUGGAAUGUACUGAGUAUGUGUAGGUGAAUGCAUAAAUAAAAUAAGGAAUAAAUAUAUAUGUACACUUUCAAGUAAUGUAUGCUAAGAGUAAGUUACUCAACUUGGACUUAAGUAAAAUAAAGGCUGCA
rnacentral:lncRNA from 1 species